rnacentral:rRNA from 1 species
UGGCUCACCUAGGCGACGAUCCCUAGCUGGUCUGAGAGGAUGACCAGCCACACUGGAACUGAGACACGGUCCAGACUCCUACGGGAGGCAGCAGUGGGGAAUAUUGCACAAUGGGCGCAAGCCUGAUGCAGCCAUGCCGCGUGUGUGAAGAAGGCCUUCGGGUUGUAAAGCACUUUCAGCGAGGAGGAAGGGUUCNGUGUUAAUAGCACNGUUCAUUGACGUUACUCGCAGAAGAAGCACCGGCUAACUCCGUGCCAGCAGCCGCGGUAAUACGGAGGGUGCAAGCGUUAAUCGGAAUUACUGGGCGUAAAGCGCACGCAGGCGGUUUGUUAAGUCAGAUGUGAAAUCCCCGAGCUUAACUUGGGAACUGCAUUUGAAACUGGCAAGCUAGAGUCUUGUAGAGGGGGGUAGAAUUCCAGGUGUAGCGGUGAAAUGCGUAGAGAUCUGGAGGAAUACCGGUGGCGAAGGCGGCCCCCUGGACAAAGACUGACGCUCAGGUGCGAAAGCGUGGGGAGCAAACAGGAUUAGAUACCC